GGCCUCUCAGGGUAGCACCUAGAGAGUUUCCAGUACUCUACCAGUCUCAGCUACGGGAGGGAGAGUCAAACAGAAGUCUACCCUUUCCACUCCUAGCUUGGGCAGUGGCUAGCGAGUGGAAGGCAAUCUGCUACAAGU